rnacentral:rRNA from 1 species
GACGAACGCUGGCGGCGUGCUUAACACAUGCAAGUCGAACGGGAAGGCCCUUCGGGGUACACGAGUGGCGAACGGGUGAGUAACACGUGGGUGAUCUGCCCUGCACCUCGGGAUAAGCCUGGGAAACUGGGUCUAAUACCGGAUAGGACCACUGCCUGCAUGGGUGGUGGUGGAAAGCUUUUGCGGUGUGGGAUGGGCCCGCGGCCUAUCAGCUUGUUGGUGGGGUGAUGGCCUACCAAGGCGACGACGGGUAGCCGGCCUGAGAGGGUGACCGGCCACACUGGGACUGAGAGACGGCCCAGACUCCUACGGGAGGCAGCAGUGGGGAAUAUUGCACAAUGGGCGCAAGCCUGAUGCAGCGACGCCGCGUGAGGGAUGACGGCCUUCGGGUUGUAAACCUCUUUCAGCACCGACGAAGCGCAAGUGACGGUAGGUGCAGAAGAAGGACCGGCCAACUACGUGCCAGCCGCCGCAGUAA